rnacentral:rRNA from 1 species
UAAAGUGGCGCACGGGUGAGUAACACGUGGGUAAUCUGCCCUCGAGUUUGGGAUAACCCCGCGAAAGCGGGGCUAAUACCGAAUAAGACCACGGGGACCAAAGUUCCCGAGGUAAAAGGUGGCCUCUAUUUAUAAGCUAUCACUUGAGGAUGAGCCCGCGGCCCAUUAGCUUGUUGGCAGGGUAACGGCCUACCAAGGCUAUGAUGGGUAGCUGGUCUGAGAGGACGAUCAGCCACACUGGAACUGAGACACGGUCCAGACUCCUACGGGAGGCAGCAGUGGGGAAUAUUGCGCAAUGGGCGAAAGCCUGACGCAGCAACGCCGCGUGGGGGAUGAAGGUUUUCGGAUUGUAAACCCCUUUCGAUCGGAACGAAUCUCCUCCUGGUAAAUAAUCAGGAGGAUCGACGGUACCGAGAGAAGAAGCCACGGCUAACUCUGUGCCAGCAGCCGCGGUAAGACAGAGGUGGCUAGCGUUGUUCG